UACGGAGGAUGCGAGCGUUAUCCGGAUUCAUUGGGUUUAAAGGGUGCGCAGGCGGCACGGCAAGCCGGCGGUCAAAUCGCGGGGCUCAACCCCGCCCAGCCGUCGGAACUGCCGGGCUAGAGUGGGCGAGAAGUGCGCGGAAUGCGUGGUGUAGCGGUGAAAUGCAUAGAUAUCACGCAGAACUCCGAUUGCGAAGGCAGCGCACCGGCGCCCUACUGACGCUCAGGCACGAAAGCGUGGGUAUCGAACAGG
rnacentral:rRNA from 1 species